rnacentral:rRNA from 1 species
AUAAUCCACGCGCUCUCAACCCCCUAUAGAACUACCAGCUUGUAUACUGCCGUCGUAAGUAUACCUCUAAAAGAACUAGUAUACUAUAAUGAAGUAUAUACUCUCAUAUACGUCAGGUCAAAGUGCAGCCAAUUAGGGGGUGAUGAUGGGUUACAACCUUAAAAAAGACACAAACUGAAACAUUAAAAAUUUCAUGAAGGUGGACUUGACUGUAAUUAUAUCACCAUGUUAUAAUGAGCAUUAAUCUAAGACAUGCACACAUCGCCCGUCACUCUACCCCUCAGGGUAGAUAAGUCGUAACAUAGUAGGCGUAAUGGAAAUUGCGCCUGUCGGAGCAUAGCAUAUAUAAUGCUUUUUACUUACACUAAAAAAAAGGUCUUGACCUGCUCCGCCUAUAAUAAGAAACCCUACAAAGCAAAUUAAACACAAAUAUACAAAAUCAAAGUCUCCAAAUAUAAAAAAAUAAAGUAUAGAAAUUGAAAACACCAAUAUAUAAAAGUAAUAGUUAAUUUAUGUACCUUGUGCAUUAUGGUUUUACAAGCAAAAAUUUUAAAAAUAGUUCCCGAAUUCUUAAGCGAGCUGCGCCCACACUGUUACGAACCCAUUAAUAACUGUGGCACCAAUUUUAAAAGAUGUGGACUCAGAGGCUACAUACCAACCGCGCAAGAAUAUAGCUGGUUCUCAAUAAAAAUUAUAUAUUAAAACAUAUAGAUAUAUCUAUAAUGUAAGAUAAUGAAGGAUAAGCCUCAUAAUCCUCAACAAUUCACUAAAAUAAAAAAAUACAAGAUAUAGGCCUAAAACCAGCCACAAAUAUCUCUUUACCGACAUAUUAACAAAAUUAAUAAAUAAUAAAAAAUGUGACAAUUAGUCGAGAUGUGAUAAAAACUAUAAAAAUCUCAAUAUUAUGUAAAAAUUAGUAUUAAUAAAAAUAAAAAUAAACAAAUAAAUAGAAAACCAAAAUAUAUAAAACCCAUAGCUAAUUAAGGAACUCGGCAAAACUCUAUUUCGACUGUUUAACAAAAACAUUGCUUUCUGAACUUAAAUAGAAAGUAAUC